UAGAUAUUAACCACUUGGUGAGACCCACCAGCGUGGAAAUGGUGCUGACAAACCAAGGAAAAUAAUCAUGGUUUCACUGUCCAGUUACAAGAAGCCUGGUGUAAAUAGCUUGUUUGGUCCAGUUGCACCCAACAAAGGGCAACUACCAUGCUGUAAUGAAACUUGAUGGUAUCAGUUUACACCAACGCUAAACUACAUAUACAGCUCCCAAUACAGUGUGCUUUGAGAAGGGGGAGCAACUAUGCCCUGUACGUUUCUGGAAAGAAGAAGUGUUGAGAAGAAGAGUUCUGUGUUGAAGUCAGCAUUGA